rnacentral:rRNA from 1 species
GAUGAACGCUGGCGGCGUGCCUAAUACAUGCAAGUCGAGCGAACGGACGAGAAGCUUGCUUCUCUGAUGUUAGCGGCGGACGGGUGAGUAACACGUGGAUAACCUACCUAUAAGACUGGGAUAACUUCGGGAAACCGGAGCUAAUACCGGAUAAUAUUUUGAACCGCAUGGUUCAAAAGUGAAAGACGGUCUUGCUGUCACUUAUAGAUGGAUCCGCGCUGCAUUAGCUAGUUGGUAAGGUAACGGCUUACCAAGGCAACGAUGCAUAGCCGACCUGAGAGGGUGAUCGGCCACACUGGAACUGAGACACGGUCCAGACUCCUACGGGAGGCAGCAGUAGGGAAUCUUCCGCAAUGGGCGAAAGCCUGACGGAGCAGCGCCGCGUGAGUGAUGAAGGUCCUCGGAUCGUAAAACUCUGUUAUUAGGGAAGAACAUAUGUGUAAGUAACUGUGCACAUCUUGACGGUACCUAAUCAGAAAGCCACGGCUAACUACGU